AUUUAACUCUUUCUUCAUUCCUAACACAUGCAAGUCUAGCGAGCGGCGGACGGGUGAGUAAUGUAUGGGGACUGCCCGAUAGAGGGGGAUAACUACUGGAAACGGUGGCUAAUACCGCAUACUAUCGGAUAACCCAUAUGGGAUUAGCUAGUAGGUGGGGUAAAGGCUCACCUAGGCGACGAUCUCUAGCUGGUCUGAGAGGAUGAUCAGCCACACGGGGACUGAGACACGGCCCAGACUCCUACGGAGGCAGCAGUGGGGAAUAUUGCACAAUGGGCGAAAGCCGGAUGCAGCCAUGCCGCGUGUAUGAAGAAGGCCUUAGUGUUGUAAAGUACUUUCAGCGGGGAGGCGUUACCCGCAGAAGAAGCACCGGCUAACUCCGUGCCAGCAGCCGCGGUAAUAC
rnacentral:rRNA from 1 species